AGCACAGAGGGAGGAAAGACAGCAGAACUGGCAGUCACAGUAGCUCUGAUCAUCCUGGAGCUAAGCUCCUCUCCACAGAAGAGAAGCAGGCAGCAGAGACCAUGAGGCCCCCCUCAGCCCCUCCCCGCAGAGGAUGCAUCCCCUGGCAGGGGCUCCUGCUCACAGGCUCAUGGGCAAAAGGGACUUGCCUUGUCUCAGAAGAGACUUGGGACUUUGGACUUUACUGGUAAUGCUGGAAAGAGGUAAUGGACUGUUGGAAAACCAUUGUUACAUUUUGAAAUGUGAGAAAUGUCAGGCCUCUGAGCCCAAGCCAAGCCAUCGCAUCCCCUGUGACUUGCAUGUAUAUGCCCAGAUGGCCUGAAGUAACUGAAGAAUCACA
rnacentral:lncRNA from 1 species